rnacentral:misc_RNA from 1 species
GCGUCAUCAAACACUCUCAGGCCUUGGCUUGGAACUGGGCUACGCCUGUGACACGGCCGGCCCCAAAACUAGUGGCAGUGCCAUCCGACACCAAGCGUAGUAAUUAUCGCCGCUAUGGUACUCGGGUAUUCUCUUGCCAGCGAAACCCCUAAUUUUCAACGUUUGACCUCGGAUCGUGUAGGAAUACCCGCUGAACUUAA